AUGCAGGGGAAAGCCCACCAGGACCUGAAGGAGAAGAAAGAGAAGGUGGAGGAGAAGGCCAGCCGAAAAGAGCGAAAGAAAGAAGUGGUGGAGGAGGAGGAGAACGGAGCCGAGGAGGAAGAGGAAGAAACUGCUGAGGACGGAGAGGAGGAGGAUGAAGGGGAAGAAGAAGAUGAGGAAGAAGAAGAUGAUGACGACGAAGGGCCCGCGCUGAAGAGAGCUGCUGAAGAGGAGGUUUGGGCUGGAUUGUGGGGCCUGAGGGGCUGUCAGGGAUGCAGCAGGGGCUGGGAGCCCUUUGGACUUGCACCUGGAUCCCUGUGGUGCACGGGCGGGGGCUGGAGCAGGGCCGGGACAGGGGGAGGUCCCUCUCCCAUUUUGCAGCUAC
rnacentral:lncRNA from 1 species